rnacentral:rRNA from 1 species
CAUUUGGCUUAUAAUUGAAGUCUAGUAUGAAUGAAGUUAUGGGGGUAGGCUGUUUCAAACAAGUAGUUCUAAUUUGCCUGGGGGGUGAAAAUGCCCUCGCAUACAUAAAAGACGAGAAGACCCUUGAAAUUUUGAACACACUUGUUCAGGCUUGUAUUUUUGUUGGGGCGACAAAGUAGCAUGCAACCUACUGACUUGUAUAGGCAACGUUUAGGGGGAAAAAUUAAAUUACUCUAGGGAUAACAGCAUAAUAUUUUGAAGUUUG